AGAGUUUGACCUGGCUCAGGAUGAACGCUGGCGGCGUGCUUAACGCAUGCAAGUCGAACGAUGAUCCCAGCUUGCUGGGGGAUUAGUGGCGAACGGGUGAGUAACACGUGAGUAACCUGCCCUUAACUCUGGGAUAAGCCUGGGAAGCUGGGUCUAAUACCGGAUAUGACUCCUCAUCGCAUGGUGGGGGGUGGAAAGCUUUAUUGUGGUUUUGGAUGGACUCGCGGCCUAUCAGCUUGUUGGUGAGGUAAUGGCUCACCAAGGCGAGGACGGGUAGCCGGCCUGAGAGGGUGACCGGCCACACUGGGACUGAGACGCGGCCCAGACUCCUACGGGAGGCAGCAGUGGGGAAUAUUGCACAAUGGGCGAAAGCCUGAUGCAGCGACGCCGCGUGAGGGAUGACGGCCUUCGGGUUGUAAACCUCUUUCAGUAGGGAAGAAGCGAAAGUGACGGUACCUGCAGAAGAAGCGCCGGCUAACUACGUGCCAGCAGCCGCGGUAAUACGUAGGGCGCAAGCGUUAUCCGGAAUUAUUGGGCGUAAAGAGCUCGUAGGCGGUUUGUCGCGUCUGCCGUGAAAGUCCGGGGCUCAACUCCGGAUCUGCGGUGGGUACGGGCAGACUAGAGUGAUGUAGGGGAGACUGGAAUUCCUGGUGUAGCGGUGAAAUGCGCAGAUAUCAGGAGGAACACCGAUGGCGAAGGCAGGUCUCUGGGCAUUAACUGACGCUGAGGAGCGAAAGCAUGGGGAGCGAACAGGAUUAGAUACCCUGGUAGUCCAUGCCGUAAACGUUGGGCACUAGGUGUGGGGGACAUUCCACGUUUUCCGCGCCGUAGCUAACGCAUUAAGUGCCCCGCCUGGGGAGUACGGCCGCAAGGCUAAAACUCAAAGGAAUUGACGG
rnacentral:rRNA from 1 species